rnacentral:rRNA from 1 species
ACCGGGCGACCGGAUGCGGAUCUCGAAAGCCUGUCCCAGUUCGGACUGGAGUCUGCAACCCGACUCCACGAAGUUGGAUUCGCUAGUAAUCGCGCAUCAGCCAUGGCGCGGUGAAUACGUUCCCGGGCCUUGUACACACCGCCCGUCACACCAUGAGAGUUGGGAAUACCCGAAGCCUGUGAGCUAACUUAUAGAGGCAGCAGUCGAAGGUAGAAUCAAUGAUUGGGGUGAAGUCGUAACAAGGUAUC